UACGUAGGGCGCAAGCGUUGUCCGGAAUUAUUGGGCGUAAAGAGCUCGUAGGCGGUCUGUCGCGUCCGUUGUGAAAACUCGAGGCUCAACCUCGGGGCUUGCAGUGGAUACGGGCAGACUAGAGUGCGGUAGGGGAGACUGGAAUUCCUGGUGUAGCGGUGAAAUGCGCAGAUAUCAGGAGGAACACCUGCGGCGAAGGCGGGUUGCUGGGCCGACACUGACGCUGAAGCGCGAAAGCCAGGGGAGCGAACGGG
rnacentral:rRNA from 1 species